GAUGAACGCUAGCGGCAGGCUUAAUACAUGCAAGUCGAGGGGCAGCGGGAGUAGCAAUACUUGCCGGCGACCGGCGCACGGGUGCGUAACACGUAUGUAAUCUGCCCAUCACAGGAGGAUAGCCCGGAGAAAUUCGGAUUAAUACUCCAUAAUAGAAGAUAAAGCAUUUUAUUUUCUUGAAAGUUCCGACGGUGAUGGAUGAACAUGCGACUGAUUAGUUUGUUGGUGAGGUAACGGCUCACCAAGACUACGAUCAGUAGGGGUACUGAGAGGUUAAACCCCCACACUGGUACUGAGACACGGACCAGACUCCUACGGGAGGCAGCAGUAAGGAAUAUUGGACAAUGGCCGCAAGGCUGAUCCAGCCAUGCCGCGUGCAGGACGAAGGCCUU
rnacentral:rRNA from 1 species